CCAGGAAAUGAACUUUUUAAUAAUCCGAGAAGGAAAAGACCCUCAGCCCUCUCACCCCCUCCGCACCCGGGGCCAAUACCCCGGACUCCCCGGGGCUGGACCGAACUUCCAAGGACACUUCACCCCCUACCGGGGCCCCAAGGGGUUGGGUUCCCGACCUCUCUCGUAGUAAGGAGGCGGAGGCGCGUGACACCAACAUUUGUCCCACUUUCUUCUCUGCAACUCGGUUUCCCCGCUCGGUUUGUUGGCCUGACCAGCACAUUGCUCUCUUCCUCGACCGCCGAUCGCCGCGGGCUACUUCAGUCCCAGCUGGCCCUAAGACCGAAGGUCAGCAGAGAGCACGGGUGAGCUGGGGACAAAACCAACCGAAGAGCGCCGCAAGUCCCCGAAGCCGAGGAUCUCGAGAAGGAACGGCAGCCACGGUUGCUGGGGUCCGGAGGUGGGAUGCAAUGGGAAUGGAGACAGGGGAGGAAGGGGAAGAAAGGAGGAAGGGAAGCAGAAAGGUAAAAACAUUUCCCUGCGUGCCCCUUCCAUCUGUCUCCCCCAAGUUUUGCUCCCCAGAACUCUGUAUUUGAGAGGUAGAGAAUGAUCCGGGAGCCUGGGAGAAGAGAAACUCGGCCCGUCCCCAGUCCGGGAUUUUUGUUCCGGGAACCGAUAACUAGUCUGAGGCGGAGAAACCAGGCGCCAGGAGCAGGGACACGUUUUCGGGCGGUCUUAGGCUGCGGCCCCCGGGGUCAGAGCCCAAGAGGUCGCGCAGCGGGCGGCCGGGGGAAAAGCCGGGAGGGGGUGGUGGUGGAGAAGAGUUGUUUGAAAUUAUUUUUCCUCUUAAAGCGACGCUAGCGCCUUCUGGGGAAAGAUUUCGUAGCAAAUCCUAACAGCUGUGGCUCCAGGGGCCAGCGCUGGGACUUCUCCUAGACCUUGUAGUCCUACUUUCCAAAGCAGGUGAUAAAAAUCGAGCCAGAAAAAAAAGAUGCAUUUUGUCUCACUACUCUCUCUUUUUCAUGCUUUCUCCCACAAAAAUAAAGAGAGGAAUAUUGGUCCUUGAAAUGGGGAGCUGACCAGGUCCUCUGCCUCCUGGGCCCUGGGAGGAAAUCUCCGCAGAACAGAGAACGGAUCCGGACCGCCAUACUGAAGUCCCCUUUUCUCUUUCCUGGUGAUAUCUUUUCUCCCCCGCUCCUCAAUCCCUCAAUCCCCUCCAUCUCUUCCUAGGCCGACGGCCCCACAUCCUUUGCUUCCUUUUCUGCCUGGCUGAAAAGUCUUCCAGGUGAGUAAGGAGACUUCCUUUCAUCCCAGGACUAGGGAUGAGGAGCUAAAGACUUCUUCUACUCCCCCCCCCCAAAAAAAACCCAAAACUGGAAUUAGAAGGUGCCUCCAAAGUGUGCAGCCAGGUAGGUCUGCUCCUCCGUUUAGUGGGGAUGUGACCCAGGCUGGUGCAAAGAGUGGAGAGGAUAGCGAUAGGCUCCUGGCUGCUGAUUAGGCUGUGAGUGGAAAAAUGGCCGAUUAUUUUCCCCAAUUUCUUAUACGGUUGUAAUUAAUAAUAUAUUGCCCUUGUCACCAGAAAUCAUAACCGUUGUUGUUAUAACUCCCACCACAAUCCGAAGUUAAAGCCAAUAUUGUUCCAUUCGUUCUUAUAAAUGACUCUGGACUCCCUGUUGUCAAAAUCCACCUAACCAGUUCGUGGUGUGGGUGUUAUCACCCUUCCCGGAGCUGUCCUCUCUAGGGGCUCACAAACAAGGGGGUGGGGGAGAGGGGGGAUUCGAAUUUAAUUACCUCGCUCAACCGAACGGAAAAUAGCCGGCCCUUGGCUGCUUAGGACCCACAGGCAGUCAGGGAACACGGCUGGUUAAACACUCUUCCCUUCAUGGCUGGAGCCUCUCUACAGGAACUGGGUCCCCACAGCCUGCAAUUCGGGCCUCAUUCUUCCCCAGGUCUGCCCUUACAGGAAACUAAGCCUUCUUUAUAAUUUCAUAAAAGAUGAAGGGUCCAAGAAUGAGACCAGAGACGCAGUGCUUUCCCCUCUCCAGAACUCCAAGCUGUCUUUCUAGAUUGGGGCUCUUUCCUAAUGCGUUCUAUGCGGGUUAGGCAGAGUAGGGGGGAAAUGCCUCCUGAAUAGCUUGGCAAAUCAAGCGUUCUGCUUUUAAGCAUCUGUAGAGACAGGAGAACUGGAAACCUGGCUGGCUGGUUGCAGGAGGGCUGAUUGGAAGAAAUGAAAUCUUCCAGGUAGAAGGAACAAGAGACCCUGCAACGCACAGAACUGGCACGGAGCAUGGGCAAUGGGGUCCUCAAGAACUGGCUUUUACAACACGCCAAGCCUCUUUCUUAGCAGAAGGUAGAAAUGAGCUUCCUGGCCCUUUUGGUCAGGGCACUUGUUCAGCUUAAUGUUUCUUAUUUUUUGGAAGAGAGAAGUGCUUUUAAAAGCAUUUGCAAUGCGGACAGCCCAGCCUGUCUUUGAUUUGAUUGACAAGGGCGUUCACAUUCGUUAAAGGAGUACAGACUCAAGUAGCAAAGUACUUACUGGGAGGAUUAGAGCUGAAAGGGGACAUCUGGUAUUGAAUUGAAAGAAUAAAAAUAUCUUUAACAAA